GACGAACGCUGGCGGCGUGCUUAACACAUGCAAGUCGAACGGAAAGGCCCUGCUUUUGUGGGGUGCUCGAGUGGCGAACGGGUGAGUAACACGUGAGUAACCUGCCCUUGACUUUGGGAUAACUUCAGGAAACUGGGGCUAAUACCGGAUAGGAGCUCCUGCUGCAUGUUGGGGUUUGGAAAGUUUCGGCGGUUGGGGAUGGACUCGCGGCUUAUCAGCUUGUUGGUGGGGUAGUGGCUUACCAAGGCUUUGACGGGUAGCCGGCCUGAGAGGGUGACCGGCCACAUUGGGACUAAGAGACGGCCCAGACUCCUACGGGAGGCAGAAGUGGGGAAUAUUGCACAAUGGGCGGAAGCCUGAUGCAGCAACGCCGCGUGCGGGAUGACGGCCUUCGGGUUGUAAACCGCUUUCGCCUGUGACGAAGCGUGAGUGACGGUAAUGGGUAAAGAAGCACCGGCUAACUACGUG
rnacentral:rRNA from 1 species